GUGCCAGCCGCCGCGGUAAUACGGAGGGUGCAAGCGUUAUUCGGAAUUACUGGGCGUAAAGCGCGUGUAGGCGGGAAAGCAAGUCUGAUGUGAAAGCCCCGGGCUUAACCUGGGAAGUGCAUUGGAAACUGUUUUUCUUGAGUACUGGAGAGGAAGGGAGAAUUCCCGGUGUAGAGGUGAAAUUCGUAGAGAUCGGGAGGAACACCAGUGGCGAAGGCGCCCUUCUGGACGGUUACUGACGCUGAGACGCGAAAGCGUGGGGAGCAAACAGGAUUAGAAACCCCUGUAGUCC
rnacentral:rRNA from 1 species